GGAUCUAUGUUUUCUCUAUUAUACAUGCAAAUAAGAACUUCCAAGGUAUUAUCCUAAUCUAGCAUACAAAACAAUGAAUAUAACAAGAUAGAAUACAUACCUCUUUGAUGUAGAAAGUCUUCAUGAAGCUUGAGUGCCUAGUGCCCCAAGUGUGACACCUCAAAUAUUUCACACAACACCGAAUACACUUAGAAUAACUUGAGAGAAAUCUACACCUCAUGAAAUUAGCUAGCCCUUAUUUUUACUCUCUCUAGUGGCCGAUUUUGUCAAGAAUAAGAUCUUUAUAUAGUGUUACAAUUAGGGUAAACCCUAAUUGUCAUGACUUUCCAUUUCCUNACAAAUACACCAUGGAGCAUCCAUGGACCAUCCUAUGGGUUUUAGCCCAACUUGAUUAUCCAUGGAGCAUUAGCACACUAUACAAGUAUGGAUGAUUUACACAAUCAACCCAUAUAUUUAAUUAGUCUUCUUUUGAUCACUUAAUUAAUCCUAGAUUAAUUCUUGAUCAAUACUAAUUAAAUAAUCUUAUUAUUCUUAUUAUUAAUAUACUAGAACUUAUAGUAUAUUAAUAACCAUAAGUGUCUUAUUUCUCUCAUUAUAGUCUCAUUAUAGUCUAUGAUGUCAUGCAAACAAAUGGACCAUGCCGGGUCGGGUCAAGUCUUACCAAUUAUAGUUAUGGACUUAGACAUUAAUCCAACAGUCUCCCACUUGGAUAAGUCUAAAACUAUUAUUGCGUAUGACUUCAGGAACCAACCGGCAAUCGUAGCUCUCAAAAGCUUCUGUCGAACUCUGACCUUGUAGAUGAACUCUGACCUUUGUCAAUGACUUGUCCAUUAGAUAAGGGAUCAUAUAUUCCUCCAUUCUAGAUAUCAUAUGGACUGAGACAUGGAUUAUAAUCAUUCUCUCUGUCCAUUUGUUGUUUCCCGAUUUCCGAUUUAUGACGACUGACUAAUUGAACAAAUCAAAUCAGUCCUGGCCCGGCCGAGCACUUCCAUUUGUCAUCAUCAAAUCAUCGAGGGGCCCACAGAUAUCGCUUUUAUCCCGAAGGUAAAAGGAACGGAUAAACUUCGACUCAUAUGGCUUGUUCUACUACUUGUUGAAUCAUACACAAAGGCACGUUUUAUAGCACCGAGUUACCAAAUGCGUUUUCGUGCAAUCAAUGUACUAUCAACUCAUAGUAACAACUCAUAUCUCUAGGUUUGAAGAAUAUAAGAUAUUAUCGUCUCAUGAUCACUCGUGAUAAAAUCCAUGAAGUGAUUCCAAUGAGCGCGGGUUGAAUCCAAUACUCAGAACUUAUGAGCACUCAUGAGUGUUGUAGCCCUUUGUCCAACACCUUAGACCUCUACAAGCCAACCCAUGACAGUCUUAAUUCAUAUCUACUUCCAACAUAUGACCGACUGUGGAUGGUUUGAAUAACUUAGUCAUUCCGGAAGAAUAACCUAGUUUAUUCGGGAAGUCAAAACAUGCAAAGUGAAACACAAUAAUAAUUGAAUCCAAUAUGGUAUCAACCCUUUGAACAUAAAUAAAACACCUUUUAUUUAUCACCAUAUGAUUACACAUUAUUCAUUGUAUACUGUUUCAGCUAUCAACUUUAUUCUUGAAUUUAAAACAAUAGUUGUCCCAUGCUCCAAGCAUGUACACUAUGUUUUCUUAAACACUAGUCAUGCCACACACCAAGUAUGCAUACUAUGUUUGUCUAUGAUCUUUACUUUGUGAACUAGAUCAAUUGAACAUAACUUCAAUGAUUCUCUUUUCACACUCCCAAAUCCUUACUGCAAAUGCAAGAAUUCCAAAUUCAUGCCAUUUACUGAAAUCUGUUAGAUUCUAAACUUAUAUGCAUUGAUCCUCUUGUAAUGAUUAUGCACAAAGUCAGAAAGACUUGACAACAAUCAUUACAGAGUAUUCCAAAGGAGAUCAGCUCCUUGGAAACAUCCUUCUUGCAUUAAGUUUCCUAAUCUUAAACAGAUUGAAAAUUCUAACUUUGAAACAUUUCCAGAUUCCAUUUUGACUAUCACUUCUGAACAAGAGUUGCCUCCUUACAGAUUAUGUCAAUAUGGUCCUUCCAGAAUUAUCACUAUACUUCCAACUGUCCUUGAGCAACCAAUCUUUGGUAAACCUUAGAUUGUCCUCGACAAUUGUUUAAUCCUUUUAGUCAUAUCCAGUUCUAAACCUUUUCCCUUCUUAAUGCCCCAGGCAUUUGGAAAAUUUUAGAACGGAUGAAUAUAGCACAUGUAAUCGAUCCUAUAUCCGAAGCAUAUGGGACACGAUUCAUGAUGUCUCACAUAAAGACUAAACCAGUCUUUUGCUAUAAUAUUUCCAUUUCAAUUUGCCAAGUUCUCAUAAUUCAGAUUAUGAAAAGGGAUGCCGUAAUCAUAAUCGAAUUUUAGAACGCAAAUAAUGGACCCAUAUACAGAAUUUCCUUAUGUUGAGCCAUUCCAACAUGAAAUUCAUAUAUAUCCUUGACUAAAUGAUUAAAACCUCACGAUCUAAGCUUAUAGAUUUGAGAUGAAGUAUAAUUUCCUCUCCCUUAAUUAUAGCAAAACAACUUUUUCCCAAUUGAAACUUUUGUUUUCUAUAAUUAACAUUGCUAACUUGCAAUACUUAUCAUAAUUAUCAUGCUCCCACUAACAUGAUGAUUAUUAGCAUAACACUUAUGCUCCCACUAGCUUUGACAUGUACUCAGAAAUCAGCUGGACUUCUAGAAAUCAAUACUUCAUUGACUUUCUUACCAAAGUUCAGAUUUCUGAUACUAGAUUGUUUUGAUAAAACUUUAUCAAAAUCAUACACCUUCCCUUAGAUAGCACACUUGUGUAUCUAAACAAUUAUGAAGAGGGAUGCCGUAAUCAUAAUGUUUAGACCUUUUUGCCACUUCUCACAAGUCCAAAUUAGUGUGCCGGUUAACCACACGCGCUCCACUAACGACUUUGAGAAUGCAAAUAUCACAAUUGCUAUCUAGCUAAAAUCUACUUAGUGAAAGUGUUUCCUCACCAUCAUUUUCAUGAAUCGGAGAGAAACCUUAUGACACUUAGAUUUAAUGGUGUAUGUGUUCUUAUCCAUGUGAAUUGUCAAAACCAUAGUCACAAGACAAGGAUAAUGACAAAUCCAAACUCAUAUGGACUGAACUCAAUCUUAAUUUCUUGCCACCUGGCAGCUCAAGGGCCUGCCAUUGCUUCCAAGUUGUUGUGCAACAAAUUGAGAACUCUAAGAACUCAUAUGCAAAGCCAACUUUAACUGGAAUGGGCACAGAAUAUGUCAACACGAUAGGUUAUGAACCUCAAGUCGUGUGCUAGUGAAGAACUUCAGGUUUUAUUCUUGAUUAGUUCUUGAGACUUUCAAGACCUUUAAGACUCCCACUGUCCUCUUGACCUAUAAGACUCCCUUGUCAAACAUCCAAGAGAUAGUGCGGAUUCUAAUCAAGACAAACACUUCACACAAUUGGCCUAAGUUGGUCUUUGUUUUAUCCAAAACAUCACAACUUACCAAUUUCAAAUGUACAAGAGUAGAAAACUUUUACUCUUACAUUUGACAAGUGUUUUAAACCUUCUUUAAGACAUGUCACUCAAGUUACAAUCUUGGAGUAUGACUCUAAGACUUGUAUUGGAACGAAGUAUGACUCAUCUUCUUGAUUUAACCAUUUCAACAAUUCAAGUUCCUCUUCUUAGUCAUAAGAAUGCACUAAGAUUUCCUUAGAGAACUAAUUUUGAUAUGGUUUCUUAAUCAUUAAGAUGAUCACAAAACUGAUACUAAAGUACUCUCCCAUCUUUUCAGAUUUGAGAAACUUUUAUCCUUCUGCCUAAUUUGAUUCUUCUUAUUCGCCCUGCCAUACAUUGGAACCUUUUCCAAUGUCUCAGAGUUACACUUAAGCUUGUAAGUAUAAUCAUAUUUACUGAGCUUUAGUAAACUAUGACGAAUAGUCUUAUCAAUCUUUUGUGGUGGACUUAAUCAGUGCACAAGAAUGUGUACUCGAUCCCUUAGUCCUUUACUUGACUCACACAUCCAUGUGGCCGAGUAAUUAGUCUUAAUUUUCCAAAACUUGAAAGUUCUCAUUCAUCAUGCUAUACAACUUGCAUGAUUCCAAGUUCCGGUCCAAUUGAAACUUGGGUGAUGAGAAUCUUUCCUUAUUUGGUAAAUCUAGACAUUACCACAAAUGAAAGAAUCAAUUUCAUAUUUCCACUCUUGCUCUUAAUGGAAUCAUAUAAGCAACAAUUUUUCCUCAAAAGCCAUUGUAAGGAUAUUUUAAAAUAAAUAAAAUCAAAAAAUUUUUCUUUUAUUUUAAAACUUUGCGGAAAAACUUAUCCUUACAAUCCAUAUGAAAACUUGUUGUUAUCUAUUCCUAAGCAAUAUCUCAUAACUCCUAAGAAGUUGCUCAAGAAUCCGAUCUUCAAACUAUGCGAUAGAAAUCCAUCUACGCCAUCAGAUUCAGCAUAUUCUUUCUUUAAGUUUCUUCACUUUUCUUUGAUUCUUAAAACAUCACCAUGUGACCCAGUCACAUCAUGUAUCAGGAAUCUCAGAAUAGAAACUUAACAGAGUUAGAUAGUGGUCUUUACCUGAAGUAGAGUCAAACUUAUUGACUUUAACAUCCUUAGGUAAAUUUGGCAGCUUCGCAACCAAUGCCCCUUCCCUUGGCAAUAUAAACAUAUGGACCCUUUGAUAAUGGUACACGAGACUAUCACAGACUUAGCUUUUCUCUUUACCAUUUGGUCAACCGAGUUGACUAUGGCCGAUCCCUUUCCAUUGGGAAGAGAAUGCUUUACUGGAUAUCCAAUGUCAUCAUUGUCAAUGUCCAUAAAGUUUUAGGAAGUUGAUCUUAGCAAAUAGAUAAGAUCAUUAAGGGUCUUGUCAUAGUCUGUUUCAUAGGUGUCCCAAAGGAACUCACUAUGUGACUUAGAAAGUGAUUGAACCACCAACUUUCUCAAGACUUUGACACCCAACUCUCCCGGCUUGUCAAUAUGUGACUACAUCUCCAAGAUGUGAUCACACCUAGACCUUGCCUUGCCAAUAGGGCUUGAGUGACCUUAAACUUUUCAAGAACUUGUGGGUUGGGGAGAAUAAUUGGAGGAGGUGAAAGAAGUAUGAUUUCCAAAGGACAUCAUCUUCAUUUAGGAAACCUUGUUUCACUAGAUUUGGGAAGAUCAUAGGUGUCUAUUACAGACAUCUUUUGGGAGAUAUUCAAGAUAGUUGAUUUAAAGUCCUUAAUAUGACACCCAAUAUGAAAUAUUAAGGCUAGGACCCAACAAACUAUUUUAUAACUUAGAAGAGGUAUGCCGUAAUCCAAGCUAUAAAAUAUUUGAAGGUAGGUGAAUGACGAUUCACCAAUUUCCACCAAGAUAAACGAAAUGUAUUAUUAGGUUUUAAUUGGUUUUGAAACUCCUAGAUCUUUGAGAUUCAUUGAACUGUUCAAAGGCAUGUUUCAAUCUCGAGUGUGCCCUUCAGGUUUUGUGACUGGGAUGCCGAGGAUCACAAAACAAGGUGUGAAGUAACCAUGCAAAUCACUUGGUACCCUUAAUAAAUUACCCCUCAAUCGAUGUGCCGGUUAACCACACACGCUCCAUCGAUACUAUGAUAAAUAUUAAGUCACCCUUUACCUACCUUGUUAAGUCCAAGUUAGUGUGCCGGUUAACCACACACGCUCCACUAACGACUUAGACAAAGUGUAAAGUGUAAUUUCAUGGAUUAGCACCUUAUUCACAUUUUUCCUAAGUAACUAAGAUUGGGUAUUAUUAAGAGUUUAGUUACUUAGUAUUAUCAUUAAUACUUUUAAUGAAGGGAGAAUUCUAGUCCUGUCAAACCCGUUCGGCUAACGACCCUCCACCAGUCAAGCAAGCGGUGGGUGAGAGUGGACACCCAUUAAGUUGCCAUUUUAUAGGCAACAACCUUAUACCCACCUUAUAGACCGGCUUCGUGAAUGAGGCGUACUAGCGGUAAGACUGACUUUACUCUUAUACAUAUAUAUAUUAUUAACUUAUAAUAUUAUAAAGUAUAAGGGUUGAAUUUUAACUUUUAAAAUUCUAAGGGCUAACUUGGAAUUAAAGUAUUCAUAAGUGAAAACUUUACAAAUUCCAAAACUUGAGGGCAAGUUUUGAAACUAUUCAAAACUAAUUAAUUCCAUAACUUAUGUGUUUAAAGUAGUUUUAAUCCAAAAACUCUUCAAGUUCCAUAACGUGAGGACAAGUUAUGGAAGACUUUAAACUAAUAAAAGAAUUAACUUUUCCUUAUUUAUAACUUAUGGAAUUAAAUAAGGUUACAUCUUUUUUUAUUUAUUAUUUAAUGAAGAGACUCUUGGUCCUCCAUAACUUGAGGACAAGUUAUGGAGUCAUAAAACCAUUUAAUUAGAACUAGACUCUUCAUUUUUGUAACCUUUGCCAAUUUUUAUGAGUUUUAUGAUUCUUAAAUGUGACUUUUCAUAUAACUUGAGGACAAGUUACAAAAACACAUUUUAGAAUCAAUUCUUAGAUUAAUUUGGAUUAAAACCAACUAUCACAUAAUUUUAUUCAUUAAUCUAAAUUCACUCAUAAAACAAGGUAACACAAAAAACUUUUGGUGAUCCAUAACUUAUUCUUAAGUUAUGGAAUCCUUUAAAACAUUAACACCAAAUUUUGUAACUCCAAAAAAACUUUGAAUCAAUUUUUUUUUAAAACCUUUUCAUAUCCAUAACUUAUGGAGGUUUCAAAAAAUAAAACUCUUUAGAUCAAACUUUUAAAACUAAUAAAAUAAUCAUAUUAUUUUAUCUUUUAUUAAAUUUGACCUAAUUCAACUCAUAAAGCAAAUUAUUCAAAUUUUACAAAUAAUUAGUUUUUCACAAGAACAAGUAAUUAUCUUAAAAUUUGACAAACUUCAUGUUUUUUUUUUUUUACUUUGAAAAUAAAAUAUUUGCAUCAAUAUAACAGAAAACAACCCGUGGCUCUGAUACCACUGUUGGGUUUUGAGCAUUCUAACACUUCCUAAGUGUACAUGCAACCCUAAAUACCUUGGAUCUAUGUUUUCUCUAUUAUACAUGCAAAUAAGAACUUCCAAGGUAUUAUCCUAAUCUAGCAUACAAAACAAUGACUAUAACAAGAUAGAAUACAUACCUCUUUGAUGUAGAAAGUCUUCAUGAAGCUUGAGUGCCUAGUGCCCCAAGUGUGACACCUCAAAUGGUUCACACAACACCAAAUACACAUGGAAUGACUUGAGAGAAAACCCACACUUCAUGAAAUCGGCUAGCCCUUCUAGUAUACCCACUAGUGCCGAUUUUUCCCAAGAAUGUGAUCUUUAUAUAGUGUUACAAUUAGGGUAACUCCUAAUUGUCAUGACUUUCCAUUUCCUUGGAUCCAUGGGUACAAAUACACCAUGGAGCAUCCAUGGACCAUCCUAUGGGUUUUAGCCCAACUUGAUUAUCCAUGGAGCAUUAGCCCACUAUACAAGUAUGGAUGAUUUACACAAUCAACCCAUAUAUUUAAUUAGUCUUCUUUUGAUCACUUAAUUAAUCCUAGAUUAAUUCUUGAUGAAUACUAAUUAAAUAAUCUUAUUAUUCUUAUUAUUAAUAUACUAGAACUUAUAGUAUAUUAAUAACGAUAAGUGUCUUAUUUCUCUCAUUAUAGUCUAUCCAAAUGCAUGAUGCCAUGCAACCCAAAUGGACCAUGUCGGGUCGGGUC
rnacentral:lncRNA from 1 species